rnacentral:rRNA from 1 species
GACGAACGCUGGCGGCGUGCUUAACACAUGCAAGUCGAACGGUGAAGGGACUGGUUUUGCUGGUCCUGGAUGAGUGGCGAACGGGUGAGUAACACGUGAGUAACCUGCCCCCUUCUUCUGGAUAACCGCAUGAAAGUGUGGCUAAUACGGGAUAUUCUGGGUCUGUCGCAUGGUGGGCCUGGGAAAGAUUGCGCCUUUUUUGGUGUUUUUGGUGGGGGAUGGGCUCGCGGCCUAUCAGCUUGUUGGUGGGGUGAUGGCCUACCAAGGCGGUGACGGGUAGCCGGCCUGAGAGGGUGGACGGUCACACUGGGACUGAGACACGGCCCAGACUCCUACGGGAGGCAGCAGUGGGGAAUAGUGCACAAUGGGCGCAAGCCGGAUGCAGCGACGCCGCGUGAGGGAUGGAGGCCUUCGGGUUGUGAACCUCUUUCGCCAGUGAAGCAGGCCUGCCUCUUUUUGUGGGUGGGUUGACGGUAGCUGGAGAAGAAGCGCCGGCUAACUACGUG